UACGUAGGGGGCUAGCGUUGUCCGGAUUUAUUGGGCGUAAAGAGCGUGUAGGCGGCCAUGUAGGUCCGGUGUGAAAACUCGAGGCUUAACCUCGAGAUGUCAUCGGAAAACAUUUGGCUAGAGUCCGGAAGAGGAGAGUGGAAUUCCUGGUGUAGCGGUGAAAUGCGCAGAUAUCAGGAAGAACACCAAUGGCGAAAGCAGCUCUCUGGGACGGUACUGACGCUGAGACGCGAAAGCGUGGGGAGCGAACAGG
rnacentral:rRNA from 1 species